GUCUGAAGUAGCCAGGAAUGCUUUGAAAAUAAUGUAUUCCUUUGGUAUUAUGAGGAAUGAGUGCUGGAACACUCUUAAAGAGAUUAUGAGAAAACCAAAGUGCUCUAAAAGCAACAGCAAUAACUUUGACUUCCUUACAGAAUUUCCAAGUAGAGCUCAUCUGUCUGCAUCUUGAGGCUCAGGUGAAAGCAAGUCUCCGUAAAUAUCUAUUCAAGCAGAUGACAUCAAUCUGUUCAUUUUCUUGUCUAGGGCAGAUUAAGAGGAAGUAUUUGCAGAGAUCACCUUAAGCUGUUGUAAAUUCUUGCUGCCCCAUUUUUGUGAAUGGGAAUAUGUCUAUUGUAACAGCUAAGGAUUUGCUCAUAAUGCAUGAACCCAUUGUUGGAUAGUGGCCAGGUCAACAGGGGAGCAAAGAAUUCAAAGGCAUCGCUGUAGCCAGCAAGAUCUAAACCUCAAUCAUGUCAUUGAUCCACCCUCAAAUGCCCUUUCCUGCGAGUUCCUCAAGGAGAGAACCUUAUUGUUUCCACUGUAACUUCAGCUCUGUUCAGCUCUACCUGGGUGAGAGCAGCAGUACAGAUUCUUGCUUUGCAAAACUACACCUGCACACGUAAACACAGAUAUAGAUGCAGACAAUACAGACACAGAGAUACAUGGUAUGCAUGCAUGCUUAUGUGUAAUACCCCGAAAUAUCAUCUCCUGCUAUAUCUUAAUAUUAAAUGUGGUCAAUCUGUCUGUAUUUAUUUUUACCUGUACAACACUGUAAACAUCUGCAUGAAUAUGAAGACCAUCAUAUUAUUUUUCCUCCUCAUUGUUUUCAGGAAAGUAUUUUUAAAUGUACAUCUUGUUACUUUUAGUGAAAUCAUAACUGUUAUUGCAUAACAAAGUACUUUGUUUUUUUUGUUUGUUUUGUUUUGUUUUUUUUUGGUAAUCUGCCAGACUUUAAUGAAUGCAUGCUUUAAUACUUAGCAAAAGAAAAACGAAACUGUAUUCAGAUGGCCUGAGUUUGAUAUUUACAGUCAUGUAUUUGAAAAGACAAAAUAAAAGCAGCUGAACAAUGUGAAAAUCAGGCUACAUACUGGCUAAAAUAACCAUUUUAUGUUAUUUUGUAUGUUUUCUUGGGGGAAUUAUAAAAUACCAAUAUUAAUUUAAGUAGGG
ensembl:lncRNA